rnacentral:rRNA from 1 species
GACGAACGCUGGCGGCGUGCUUAACACAUGCAAGUCGAACGGAAAGGCCCUGCUUUUGUGGGGUUCUCGAGGGGCGAACGGGUGAGUAACACGUGAGUAACCUGCCCUUGACUUUGGGAUAACUUCAGGAAACUGGGGCUAAUACCGGAGAGGAGCUCCUGCUGCAUGGUGGGGGUUGGAAAGUUUCGGCGGUUGGGGAUGGACUCGCGGCUUAUCAGCUUGUUGGUGGGGUAGUGGCUUACCAAGGCUUUGACGGGUAGCCGGCCUGAGAGGGUGACCGGCCACAUUGGGACUGCGAGACGGCCCAGACUCCUACGGGAGGCAGCAGUGGAGAAUAUUGCACAAUGGGCGGAAGCGUGAUGCAGCAACGCCGCGUGCGGGAUGACGGCCUUCGUGUUGUAAACCGCUUUCGCCUGUGACGAAGCGUGAGUGACGGUAAUGGGUAAAGAAGCACCGGCUAACUACGUG